CUGUUCUUUUUUCAUUCUUUAAUCCUCGAAAAAUUCAAUUGUGAUUAAGAAAUAGAAAUUCAGUGUUUCAUGUUUCAUCGAUGGAAAUUAUCCGAUUCAAGAAAUUGUCUCCAUGAAUUUCAUAUCGUUCGAGGUUCAAACGACUUUCUUCAUAACAUGUCCACCUUUGAACCUCGUUUAAUUCAUGUGACACCCACUUCGCUGCAAUCUUGCGCAUGUGUACGUCUUUUCGUAAAAUUCGAUGCACAGUUGCCUGGUCAAUCCCUGUAUGUCUCUCUAACUCCUUCAGAGACCAGCGCCUAUCUUCCUCCAUGCACUGGGCGAUCACGGCACGAGAAACAUUGGUACGAAUGGACACAGGGCGUCCACUACGUUGCAAGUCUGCACUUGCUUCUCUUCCACGUUGGAAUGCUUCUAUCAACCUUGCAACCAGAGUUCCACAAGCUCUGAGUGACAUUCAGUCGCAUUUCUGAAGCGAAGCACUGCUAUUUUCACGUAACAGCGCUGUUCCAGCCGGCUAACGUUCAUUCUCGACGAAGGUUAUGACCACACCGACUUCGCGCUGGACCCGCUUUGUUGGCCUUAGACAUCAUCUAGCGGCAUCAUUAGAAAUCAGACGUUGUUGUCUCUCAGCGGCAAAUUUGGAAAUUCCGGUCGAAGCUUUCGAAAUUUCGGAAAAAUUAUGUUGCCAUGACUUAUGAAGUAACCCAUGUAUAUACCCAAUUUCAGUGAAAUCUGUCAUUCAAUAUUGUAGAUGAAAGAAACAGAUACAACCUCCCCAGUAUGCAUUCAUUUCAUGCACUUCAUGCACAGAACACACAAAAAGAGCUGAGUUAGAAGGAAAUUCUGAUACAUGUUUCAGAUGUCACUGACUCACUGCUGUGGCUUAAUCCAUUACUUGUGUACACUAUGUUUCUACUGCAUUUUAGUACAGGUAAAGGUAAAGUUCUCCCUGUCCUUAAUUAAGAAGGAUACCAUGAAGAUAUAUGGGGAGUGGAAGUAUAGCUCCAUCAUAUUUGACCUCUGCACCAGUUGGAGUUAUAAUUUAAUAUGAAAAUAGUGUAAAACAGCCGCUUCUUUGCAAGAAUGGUAUUGAUCGGACAUACCAGUGCUUGUAUAGUGGGAUGGCAGUAGUCUGCACCUACAGUAACUUCCUCUGUGACAAAGUACAUGAUGUCCUCAUUUCAGUAUGUUCAUACCUAUGUGAAAACUGAAUUAACUUCCUUAUAAAUUCUUUAUAUGUCUGUAUUUGUGCCUUCAUUAGUGAGAAUGCAACUCUUGUUGUACAGACAGGAGAAAACUAAAGCUUUCUAGAAGAUAAAAUUGCCCAUAUUAUAUAUCCCUUCUGAAAAUAUAUCUACCUGUUUGACUAUUAGUUUGCAGUGUACUGCUUUCUUGUUUACAUGUUUACAUGUCACUGUGUGAAGCGAGCAUGCAGAAUAUUUAUAACAUGCUGACCCUUUUGUUAAAGGUAUUGCUUAUGUAUAAAUAAUAUUCUGGAAUUGUAAUUUCCAUGUAAGAUUUGAGGCUUUCACGGCAGUGACUAUGAAGAAAGCAGUCUUCUGGGGGCGAUACGUUCCUCCGAAACGUCGGUUAACACCACAUAUACACGGUGCCAAAUCCCAGAAGACUGCUUUCUUCUGUAAUUUCCAUGUUAGUCAAUGCAAGAUACAAGUCUUCUAAAGAGAUAAUUCACAGGAGUUGCUUUCAUAGAUAAUAGAAGAAUUUUUCUAUUAGUGACUGUUUAGCAAUAUAACGUGAAUAUGUAAGUUUGUUGCUGUAAUUGUGUGGACCUGUGUUCCUUGUGAUUAACAGAGAUAACUGGCAUUCUCAAUAAUGGAGACCUGUUGUUGGAAAGCACACAUCAUUGUGCUUAUCUUGCAGAUACUUGCAUCUCUCCAAAUUGAGAAGAAGAGUAAAUAAAGUUUGAACCUGAAAGUUCCCUACAUCGUGUACUGUAUUUUAAACAUAUUUUCAGAUAUUUGUCCUUCUUGAAAGAAUAUGUCUUCCUGACUUACAGGUGUUCAAGAAGUUUGGAUUAUAUGUUAUGCUCAGUAUGGACCAGUAUAGGAAAGUCAACAAUGCCAGUAUUCUUGAAACUUCCACCCCAUAGCAUGUCAUAUGGUAGGGUCAUAAUAGCCUGGACAUAAUACCAGUAUAUUCACAUAAAUCGUUACCACUAUGGCAUGCACCCUCCUAAUGAACGAAUUUAUUGUUUUAAGGUGUAUCCAGGGGUAGGAGUGGACUUUCAGAGCUACAUAAAAAUUCCAGUUCAGCCCAGGGGAUGACAAACUUGUAUUAAAAUGAGAAUAUUACAUGACAGGCUUGUAAAUUUGUUCCUACAUAUGUCAUUAAUAGAAAUGGUAGUUAUGUUGUCUUAAGAAACUGAAAGAAGCUUCCUUAAAAUGAAGUGUUUUAGAACAAAGUACAUGGCGUUUACCCACUUCUACCCCAAUUUCCAGCCCUAGAUAUAUUCUGCCAGUGAAUUUUUGCUGUGCUUCAAGUCUAUUUUGUUUCAGCUAAUAGUUGAGAGAGCAAAUAGAAAACUUUCAUGAAUAAUGCAUAUGGUAAAGUGAAGGAGAGAUGCUUAUUAUUAUUUGUUAGGCAUUCUGUGAACAUCAGUCAAAGUCAGACUUGUGCAUAAAGGGGAAAUAUUAAUAAAUGACAUGAACCUGAAGGACUUGAAGUUAAUUUCUGUUAGAAACUGAUAAAUAAAACAAUGGCCUUAAUGUAUGAAUCUUGAAGUUGAAUCUGAUAAAAUUCACUACAUGUCUGUGCUAACCCUUAUGUGGCAAAAGCACUGCAUCAUAUAAGCAUUAUACAGUAGUAUUGCUCGCAUAUCAGACUGACUGCAUUUUUUAACUUGUUAUUUAACCUAAAAUAAGUCUUUUGGAAUACUGGAAUCACAUGAUGGAUUCUUAGCAUUUGCUAUAAAAGGGUAGACAUUUGAAUUUUUGAAAAAUGAAUACAUUCUGUAUCGAUGAAUUCAGAUUAUUUUUAAGACAGAAAAAUAUACAUUGGAGUGAACACAAUUCGAGGAGAAUACUAGAUGAGGUUAAUGAUGUUUCUUGACCUCUGUAUGCAGCAGAAGCCUGAUGUCUAUGCCUGGGAGGUCUUUUGUGUAUGAAGUAGGGUAUAUUAAUAUUUACUUAGUUGCUUGCUACAUAUAUAAGGAUAUUCAUGUAAGACAGUGGUCACUCACUUUUAAUCAUCUUGAUAUAUACAGUCCUUACUGGUCUGAUGUCGCUCUGCACAGGGGAAUGUAUCAUCUCUCUUUGUUAUGUUUAAAUAAAUCAAUUAUGGAUUGAUUCCAAACAGUUAGCAUGCCAAGAACAGUUGUCUGUUGCAUCCAUGUCUAGGUAAAUCUCCUUAAAUUGUUGAUGGGCCCUUUCUUACCAGUGUAUACAUUUGUAACUUCAGCUGUUCUAUGUACUUUAGUUACCAGCUUCAAUAUUAUGUUUAAAUUUUAUUAUUUAUUUAGUUUAUUUAGGGUUCUGAGUUUUCUGUGACAAAACAAAUUUAACUGUCUUUCUUAGAGAUAAUGAAAGGAUGUGUAUUUAUCUAUGUCUGUUGGUUACAGAAGUGUCUGAAAUGAUUAAUUACCAUAAUGAUAGUGGAAGUCACCAUCAUUGUGCAUGUCAUGCGAUUCUCCUUGUAUAAAUGAGGUUCUUGAUCAAGUUAACAUGUAACUGGAAGUUAUUUGUAUUGUAUUAUGGGAGCUUUCACUGUAUACAAACCAUGAUUAUGUGGUAUAUAGAUAUUACUAUUAAUUGUGUAUACUUCGAUAUUAUGGGAAUAUUAAACAAAUAUAUUGCGGGUAGGCCCUGUACAAAACAAAGGACCCCUACCAAGCCAUUCUGUUUGUUAGCAUCUCCUAAAUCAGUGGAUAAUGAAACUAUUAAUAGCUGAGAAUGAAGAAUGGUUUAAAGAAACUUGACAGUUAUGAAUAAUGUGCUAAACAGAUAAUGUGCUAAUAGUUCCUGAUGAAUCUCCUUUAUUCUUUAUUCCCCUUGUUAGGUAUAAAUCUCUGACAGUUUAGUGCGAAAGUGAGUGUCCAAGUAUAUAACAUAAUACUAGUUUACCCCAUUGUAUGCUAUAUAAUAUAUAUAUGUAUACUGACCAAGAUGUAACAAUUGUAGCCAGGUAUGUCAACCAAAAAGGAUGUUAUUAUACGCUUCAACCAUUUAUCAAGUACCAAAAAUAUCGUAAUAAAUGGAUGAGUGGCUUUUUUAAAUAUAAUAUAUAUAUAUAUGAAAAUGAGAGAGAAAAUGAGAAGGAAGGAGUUGACUGAGUAUGACAUUCCUUACGGUGUGAUGCGUAUUGUGCUGCUUGUUGCCUAUAAUCAGAUGUUGAGGGUCUCUGAGGUGAACAUGUCUAGUCCCUACCUACACUGUCACUAGCCACUGCCUCUCUAUAUGGUUGUAAGCAAAAUCAUGUACAUUUGAUGCUACACUAGGGCAUAUGUUGCCAUGUUACUGAUUACCCUGGAUAUUUAUGCCUGAUUUAUCAUGUUAAUGUAAUGGACUAGGCUGUGGCUGCAGUGAUAGUGCUCAGGGACAAAGGUAUACCAAACCGAGUGUCCAGUGUUAAAUUUCACAUCAGUAACACUAGUCACAAAUUGGUCUACCUAAUAUUUGGUAGACAAAGAAAGUAGAAAGUUUUUGGUCGUUGUUUUGGGACUAGUGAAUGUAUUCAGUUGAGAUCAUUUUUAUUUCAAAAAUAAUUUUUUUCUAAAUAUAUUAGUGAAAGCUAAGACUAACAACACAUAUUAUCAAAAGGGGAAAAAAAUCUGAUAUCGAUACAUGAAGUUGGUUCAGUCCACAUUAUUGUCCAGAUUAUUACGGUUAAAAUUCAUACAUCUAUUCCGUGGGGUAUGCCCCUGUAAAUUUAAUUCUAGUGCCUGUAUUUUGUUAGGACAUGCUGUUUGCAUGACUCUUGGAUGCCCCUAGAAAUGGUGACAUUAUCUAGCAGUGUGACUCGACCUUGCAGGGUACAUAUAUCAUUCAUGUAAAUACUGUACAUUGUAUUAUUAUUAUUAUUAUUAUAAUUAUAAUAAUUAUUAUUAUUAUUACUACUACUACUAUUACUAUUAUUAUAUAUAUUUGACUGGUACUGAAUGCUGUAAUUGUAUAGUUUUGCUUUCUUUUCUUUUGGUGGGGUCUGAGUCCCUGCUAACCCGUAUUCUUUGUUUGUAACAAAAAGUUUGCCUUUGCUAUAUCCAAACAGCCGUGCUAUAUAAACCGUAGCAGGUUAUAUAUACACGUUAAGCCUGUGGUGCUGGUGGGAUUGUCGAGAACUCUGCAUCCAAAGUUGGUGAUCAUAUCACCAGUAACUGAACUGACUACUGACACUAACUUGUAAAUUGUA